AUCUAACUUAGUGAAAUGCACUGACUGGAGGUCUCUUUAUCUAACUUAGUGAAAUGCACUGACUGGAGGUCUCUUUAUCUAACUUAGUGAAAUGCACUGACUGGAGGUCUCUUUAUCUAACUUAGUGAAAUGCACUGACUGGAGGUCUCUUUAUCUAACUUAGUGAAAUGCACUGACUGGAGGUCUCUUUAUCUAACUUAGUGAAAUGCACUGACUGGAGGUCUCUUUAUCUAACUUAGUGAAAUGCACUGACUGGAGGUCUCUUUAUCUAACUUAGUGAAAUGCACUGACUGGAGGUCUCUUUAUCUAACUUAGUGAAAUGCACUGACUGGAGGUCUCUUUAUCUAACUUAGUGAAAUGCACUGACUGGAGGUCUCUUUAUCUAACUUAGUGAAAUGCACUGACUGGAGGUCUCUUUAUCUAACUUAGUGAAAUGCACUGACUGGAGGUCUCUUUAUCUAACUUAGUGAAAUGCACUGACUGGAGGUCUCUUUAUCUAACUUAGUG